UGAAGAGGCUGGGGUUGAAGGAGGGCCAAUUAUUUCUAAAAAUGAGCUUAAGGUUCUUCCUCCAGUUCCUCAAGUGCACGCGUCACUGCAGCCGCACCACCAAAUGCUUCCUGUUGGAGUUGUUUUGUCAAUAAUAGGCAAUCAAGUCAUUGUAGAGGGUGUUGAGAAGCACAAUCCUCUUAACGAAGGCUCUAUCCUCUGGAUAACUGAAG
rnacentral:misc_RNA from 1 species